rnacentral:lncRNA from 1 species
UUUGCAAUGACUUUGAGUAAAAUGUAUCAUUCCGUGACUUUGGCUGCAAUCGAGCUGAGAAAUGAGCAUAAACUUAGGAAGAGUACCUGUGGUUUAAGUUUGGUAAUUCACAAAUAAAUAUAGUUUGGUAGUUUUUGACUAAUUAUUUGGUAAUUCAAAAACAAAUAUAGACACACAAAAUGAUGUGCCUUCACAGGAGAGUAACUGGUCAUGGCAAAGUAAGCUGCAACAGUGUAAGUUUCACUAAGCUUUAUGAAGAGUCCCUGUGAGCAAUUCGAUUGUAACAUCUUGUAUCAAGCUUCAGCUGUGUAAGUUUCACUAAGCUUUGUGAAGAGUCCCUGUGAACAAUUCGAUUGUAACAUCUUGUAUCAAGCUUCAGCUGUGUAAGUUUCACUAAGCCUUGUGAAGAGUCCCUGUGAGCAAUUCUAUUGUAACAUCUUGUAUUAGAUCUUUAUUUCUGCAACUUUGAGAAAUUAACUAAAUUAAAGGAAAGUAACCUGGGAGUGGGACGUGAUAAAUCAACUGUAGAUAUUGGGAUUUAACCACCUCCUCUGUUUGAUAGAUAAGUACUUGAAACUACUUUUUGAUAGAUAAGUGAAACAUAAGUUGGUGUUUUUCAAUACUUUAAAAGAACGUGGAUAUUAUGAACUUAGACUGGGAAAUCAAUGUUGGAAUCUCUAAUUGCAUCACCUUCUUUGUCUAGCCAAAUUUUGAUAAUGCCUAAAAUGUGAAACUCAUAUAUUUUCAAAUUCGAAAUUUAAGCAAGUAGCUCUCUCAUCUUGCCCCUGUUAGCUUGUUAUUGUUUAAACAUGUGAUGUCAGUAGUUCCACAUUAUUGAUUAACAAAGAAUCAAAAUCAAUUUAUCAAUGAACAAUGAAAUGAUAUGGUUCUUACAUAUAAGCUAAAAAGGGGAAAAUAAAUUAGCAAAUCAUAAAGACUCAAUUACCAAAAAAGCAGCAUAAAUAUCCAACUAAUUUGAAUCUACCAUUCCAACAUCAUAUUUUUCACUUUGGUGGAAUUCAUCUAUAAUUUACAUGGUUCCAACUUCACAUUUGUUGUAGCAUUUUCUGCUAAUUCAACAGUUUCUUUUACUUAAAGUCCAUGGAUAUAGUUCAUAUGAACUUACCUCAUUUGCAAGGAAAAACACAAUUUUGUUGAGAAACAACAACCAAGGAAAUCUUAGUAAAUAUCAGUUGCUACCUUCUACCUGAAUUUUAAUCUCUUCCUCCCUCAUUUUAUACUUUCACUAUUCCCAGUUUUGUUAAGAAAGGAAACAACAACCACAGAUCAAUUAUAUUAGACAGGAACCAGUAUUUUAGGGACAACUUAUAUUUCUGUCAAUCUGAACUACAUUUAAGGUUCUUCCAUGCUACCCCUAAGAAGGUCACUAUGAUAAUUGAAUGUUCUAGGAAGAUAUUAGUAAAAAGUAGGAGUAAACAAUUUGGAGAGAGCUUAGUGGGAAUCAAAUAGAAAGUUGCACAAUUGUCUCACCAUGACUUUUUCACAUACAAAGUUGUCAUUUUAAAGCCUUUAUAUGACGAUUUUAUAUAUUUUCAUUUUUAAUUUAACAUGGUACCUUUUUAUAUGAUGCUUCAAUUAAGAAUGAGAAAACAAGAAUUUCAAAUUACAUUCAUAGAAUUCAAAAUACAGUUGCAAUAUGAAAACUCAAGAUAUAUCAAUGUAAAACGAACAACGACAAUUUUGGCAACCUUUGACUUACUAAUAAGGUUGAAAUGCAAUAUAUUAGACAUUGCCUCAUGCUUCUUUAGUUUUAUUUCGUUUUCAGGGAUUUAUGACACCCGACUAACGUUGAAGAAGUGCAGAACUUAGUUGUGGAGUACUGUGUCUCAAAUUAUGCAAUGAAGGAACUCAUAUCUGUUAAAAGAUUUCUAAUUUCUGUCGAAGGCGAGGAGCUACCUGUAAGACAUUAGAAAUAAGCUAACUGGAAUUAAUCUUUAAAAGUGUUAAGAAAGCUCACAGUCUUCUCCAAUGGAAGCUGUGGCUAUGGAGUAUUUGAGAAUAAAGGAGAGCAGGGAUGAAAAGUAAACCAACUGCAAUAUUAUUUCAACCUUCUUGUUCAUAUUACAUUCUAUGUAUUAGUAUUUAUACAGAUACUAAAACGUCACUAUCUCUACUGAAUACAUCAUCUAUUUGUAACAAACUAUUUACUGUUCUAACUAACUAACAAUAUAACUAACAUCUUGGCAAUGACUAAUCUAACAGAAUGAACUAAUAGUUGGCACUACAUGCCAGAUGCUUUAUCUUCACACUCCCCCUCAAGCUUAGUCGUAUGAAACAAGUUGAAUACUCCAAGCUUGAAUAAUAGAAAAUCAUGUUGUGCAUGUCCCAAUCCUUUUGUCAAGAUGUCUGCUAGCUGAAGAUCUGUCCUGACAUGUUCUGUUUGUAUUAUUCCUUUUUGUAUUUUUUCCCUAAUAAAAUGGCAGUCAAUUUCAAUGUGCUUCGUCCUUUCGUGAUACAUGGGAUUUGCUGCAAUUUGUAAAGCAGCCUUACUAUCACAGAACAGUUUCACAGGUAAUGUCAACUUCCAGUUCAGUUCUGCAAACAACCCAACUAACCAAAUCACCUCUGCAGUAGCACUUGCCAUACUCCUGUAUUCAGCCUCUGCUGAGCUUUUGGCUAUAGUGUUCUGUUUCUUGGAUUUCCAAGAUAUAAGUGAGUCACCAAUCUUUACAACAAAACCACUAACCGACUUUCUUGUCAUGGGACAAGUUGCCCAGUCUGCAUCACAAUAAACACUCAAAUUGUGUGAAGUCUCAGAGGAUAAGAGUAUUCCCAAACCAGGAGAAUUCUUCAGGUAUCUAACCACUCUUAAUGCAGCUUCCAUAUGAGAUAUUUUAGGUGAGUGCCUAAAUUGACUAAGGUUCUGUACAACAUAGGCAAUAUCAGGUCUUGUCAUUGUGAGGUAGAGUAGUUUGCCUACUAGCUUUUGAUAACUUGUAGGAUCCUUUAAAGACUCAUCAUCCAAUGAAUUUCCUAAAUUAACGUCUAGGCCCUUAUCAUAUAAUGCACUGGUAAGCCUAUGGUUUACUUAAGGUGGAGUGCUAGCAGGUUUUGAUCCUGUUAAACCAAGAUCUGAAAUUAGAUCAAGACUAAACUUUCUUUGACAAACUAAGAUACCCUUCAUGUUUCUAGCAAUUUCAAGACCAAGGAAGCCUCAACUAUUUUGGUGAAUAAAGAGUAGUCAUGAUGACUCUGAGAAAAUCCAGAACUCAGUAAAGCUUCUGUAAGUUUUAAAUUCCACUGUCUGGAUGCCUGUUUGAGACCAUAAAGGGAUUUUUGAAGCUUACAGACCUUGGUGGACUCCCCUUUGCUGGAAAAACCAGGUGGUUGAAGCAUGUAGACAUCCUCAUCUAGAUCACCUUGAAGGAAAGCAUUGAAUACAUCCAUUUAGUAAAGCUUCCAACCAUGCAUAGCGGCUAUUGAUAAAACAGCCUGGACAGUGACUAUUUUCACCACUGGGGAGAAAGUUUCUUGAUAAUCCAAGCCUUCUUCCUGAGUGUAACCCUUAGCAACCAGUCGAGCCUUGUACCUUUCAACCUCAUCUGAAGCAUUGUAUUUCACUUUAAACACCCACUUACAACCAAUGGCUCUCUUUCCAGGAGGUAGAUCAACAAGACACCAAGUGUUAUUGUCAUCAAGGGAUUGAAGUUCUUGUUGCAUUGCAAGUAACCAUUCAGAAUGCCCUGCAGCCUCAGCAUAUGUAACAGGCUCUUUGAUGGCAGAAUAAGCACAUAUAGACUUGUAAUAGGGAACAACAAUAUUAGCAUAGGACAUGUAGUUUGAUAGAGGAUAUUGGCAAGAAUUAGAAGGUGGAUCAUGAGAUGGUAAAGGAGCAUGAACAAAGUCAUGAAGCUAGCCUGGUGGUUUAACCAUUCUACUUGAUUUCCUAGUUGCAACAGGAGGAAUUUGAGUAGGUGUGGAGGCAGGAGUGGAAUCAUGAGGAACAGGAUCCAAGUCUUCUACAUGUGUGUCAUUGACUUGUAGGUCAUGGCAAGGUGAAACAUUUACUUGAAAUGGAAAAGUAUUUUCAUGGAAAGUGACAUCUCUACUAACAAAGAACAAUUUGCUAUUCUGACCAUAAAGAGCAUAACCCUUUUGUGUGCUGGAAUAACCUAGAUGAACUCUCUUUUCAGCUCUAGGACCAAAUUUGUCACUACAAGCUUUGGUAAUGGUUGCAUAGCAAAGGCAACCUAGAACUCUCAAAUGCUGAAUGUUAGGUGUCUUACCAUAAAAUACCUCAAAAGAACACUUCCCUUGUAGAACUAUAGAAGGGAUUCUAUUGAUAAGAUAAACAACACACUGAACACACAACCCCCAAAAUCUCAAUGGAAUAUGUCCUUGAAAUCUAAGUGCUCUGGCAACUUCAAGGAUUUGUCUGUGUCUCCUCUCAACCACCCCAUUUUGUUGGGGUGUAUGAACACAAGAACUUUGGUGUAUUAUGCCUGCAGCUCUAAAGUAACUUUUACAGUGUGUAUUGAAAAACUCAGUACCAUUGUCACUUCUAAACACAUUGAUGCAAGUAUUAAACUGAGAUUGGAUAAGCAACAAAAACUCUUGAAUAACAGUACUAACAUCACUUUUCAAAUUCAACAGACACAACCAAGUCAUCCUACUACAAUCAUCAACUAAAGUCAAGGAAAACCUUUUACCAUCAUAGGUAGGUACCCUGUAAGGACCCCAAACAUCUCCAUGAACCAAGUCAAAAGGUUUAGAUGCUCUACUCAUACUUCUUGAAAAUGGAAAUCUAGUUUGUUUUGCCAAAGGACAUACAGGGCAAGAAAAUACUACAUCAUCCUUAGAUUAUUAGGGACAUUUGGUGAAGUAUUUUGCCUGGAAUGUGACCAAGCCUCAUGUGCCAAAGUUCAUCAUCACUCCUGGUCCUUACAGAAGCUGCAGAAUAGUCUUGUUUCUUGUGAUCCCAGUAGUAUAAGCCUCCUUCUAGCCUACCAAUCCCCUUCACCUUCCCAGUGUGAAGGUCCUGCAGUAGACAAUAGACUGGAUAAAAUGCCAUACAACAUUAUAAUUCCCUUGUUAACUUGGGAACUGAUAACAGGUUGUAUUGAAAAUCAGGAACAUGGAGGACAUUCUGAAUAACACCUUGAGGCAACCUACAAUGUCCUAUGUGAGAUAUAGAUGUUUUACUUCCAUUAGGAAAAUAAACAUGCUGACUUUGUUGUUUACAGGUUUCAUAUAGCAAUCUUAGAUCUGAAACCAUGUGAUUAGUGGCACCUGUAUCAACUAUCUACCUAUCAGGCAUAUUACUAACAUGAAAUGAGGUAACAAUACGAGCAGAAUGAGCAGAAGGAGCUGCUAUUCCAUUUGAAUGUUGAUCUUUGACAGGGAUGGGCAUAUUCUGUCCAUGUGCAUGAUAUUGGAUUGGUGUAAUCUGUCCAUGUGCAUAUAUUCCCAUUUGUCCUUGACCCCUAUGAGAAACCUCUGGUGGAUAACCAUUAAAACCAUAAUUGUUUGAGCUGUAAUCAUUAUAAUGUGAACCUGUUGAUUGUGGAUGAAAAUUGUUACCAUGAUGAGGGAACUGAUCCAAAGACCCCCUUGGGUAUUGAUCACCCAAGAAAGAGUUAUUAGCAGCAAUUCCCUCUUUCUUCUUGCCUUUGUAAUUAGGAGGAUAACCAACAAGCUUAUAACAAUUUGCCUUAAUAUGACCUUUAAUCUUACAAAAAUCACAUCUCUCAUUCCAGUGUUCAUUAUGUGGUUUUCUAUAGGUCUGUGAUCCUCGUGCACUCCAUAGUGCAGUAAUAUCAUUACCUUCCCCAAUCGAAUUAGGCGUAGUUUUCAGACCAGUACGCUUUUGACAUUCGUCCUCAAUGAUUAGUGCAUAAACCUGAUUUAGAGUAGGUUCAGUUGUCUUCAUAAGGAUUUUUUAUCUUGCUUGAUCAUAAGAAUCAUUUAAGCCUCCUAAAAACUGUAACAAGCGUUGUUGCUGAAGAUGUUCCAUAUUCCCCUUCCCCUUAUCGCAACCACAAUCAAUAGAAGGGACCAUUGCAUCAAACUCAGACCACAAUUCUUUCAAUUUGGUGAAAUACUCAGCUACAGAGUUUGUUCCUUGUACAAUUGUGUUGAUUUCUCGAUGCAACUGAUAAAUUCUCAUACGAUUGACCUUGUCAAAUCGUUCCUUCAAAUCUUCCCAAACUAAAAAAGCAUUUGAAGCAUAAACAAUGCCACUAAGAAAAGAUGGGGAAACAGUGUUCAUGAUCCAAGAAAGUAUCAAUGCAUUGCAGGUUUCCCAAUGUUCGUGAUGUUCAUCUUGAACUGAAUCUUUCGUGCAAACACCUGUAACAAAACCCAAUUUCCUUUUUGCCUGUAAAGCUAUCGUCAUCGAUCUCCGCCAUAUCCCAUAGUUUUCUGACCCUUUCAAUUGAACUGGAAUGAGAACUGCUCCAGGAGUAUCUGAUGGAUGUACGUACAGAGGAUGUGUGUGAUCGAUCCGCUCUGUCAUUGAAGAUCUGGUGACAGGAACAAAAUGCAAAGCAAGAAAGCGUAAACGAGAUUUACAGACGUAGCUCUGAUACCAUGUUAAGAAAGCUCACAGUCUUCUCCAAUAGAAGUUGUGGCUAUGGAGUAUUUCAGAAUAAAAGAGAGCAGGGAUGAAAAGUAAACCAACUGCAAUAUUAUUUCAACCUUCUUGUUCAUAUUACAUUCUAUGUAUUAGUAUUUAUACAUAUACUAAAACGUCACUAUCUCUACUGAAUACAUCAUCUAUUUGUAACAAACUAUUUACUGUUCUAACUAACUAACAAUAUAACUAACAUCUUGACAAUGACUUCUAACAGAAUGAACUAAUAGUUGGCACUACAUGCCAGAUGUUUUAUCUUCACACAUAUUGACCCUAAUUUUGAUUUUAAGAGGUAAAUUAUCAUUAACAUAUGGAAAAGGGUCGAACUAUUAGAUUUAGACUAUAUUUAUUCUCCAUUUCAUAUUGGUAGAAAAAUUACCUUGUCGUUAGCACUAAGGACCACAAAUACCUUUUAACUUAAUGAGUCCUUUGUACUGAUAUAGCACUUGCACUGUAUGCCAGAUUUUUUAUAUUCACAAAAAGCCUCGACUGAUGUGAUAGUCACUCGACUGAUGUGAUAGUCACCCGAAUGACUGAAUGUUUUGUCUCUAUAAAUUAGCCUGCAAUUUUUAUCUCAAGACGGAAGGAAUACACAUACAGGUUGCAGCGCAAUCACUAACUUGAGAUAUCAGAUUACUAUUAUAUAAAAUGAGCAUAUACCUGUCUACAAUUCAUCAUCAUAAUUCAUAUUGGUCUUACCCUUCGGGCAGUGGUUUGGGUUUGGGACUUCCAUGUUGGAGGUCUCAAGUUCGAAACCCCUUGCUAAUGAAAGAAAGCAAGGGGUUUGCCUUCUGAGUCGAGCUCGUCGCAUCGGGCUUGCUUAGUACGGGUUACCUUUCCUAUGUGGUUUGCGAGCUAUUGCAUAGGAGUGGGGUUACCCUGUGCGCACCCAAAGGGUAGCGACUGCGGGUUUCCUUUGUCAUCAAAAAUAAUAAUUCAUAUUGGUCUUUCUUGAAAAACAUCUUCAAGAAUUUCAUACUAUGACCUCCUAAUACAACAUUCCGCACUAUGAUAGAAUUUAUUAGUCAUUGUUGGACUUCCUUGCAUAUACUAAGUAAGCACACUAUAACACUUUAAAGUACUUUAGAGAGCAUCUAAUUUGCAUUAGAAUGUCCAUUUAAUUAAAAUCUAUUGGAAACUUGAUAAGAGUAUCAAAAUAGGGCUCGAAACAAUAUGAAAGAACAAUAAAACCAAAAGUCUCUCUUCAAAUUUCAAUAAUCUUGAAACUAAAAAGGUUAAUUUUCAAAUAAAAACCUACAUCUGGAGUCCCCAAAAGCAAGAGCAGGGAAAAUAAUUCAGAGGGAUUAGCGACAAGACUCAUCAAUAUUUCGUUUGUUCAGUAUAUAUUGCAAAGAAUCUUACCGAAUUAUUUAGUUGUUUCAGGCAUAUCAUCGAACACCUUGGGUUCAUCAAUCUUCCCCCAAAAUUAUUGCAACUGAAUAAAAAAAAAGUAAUACAUGCAUACAGAAAAUGUAGUAAAAUAUUAAACGGAACUAUGAGUAUGAUCAAAUUCAGAAAAGAAAAAACAAAGAAGAAGAAACAAAUCGAGAAGGGAAAAAUGGAGCGCCAUUUUUCCUCCUUUGGUAAUUGUUAGUGGGAAGAAAGCUUUUCAUUUGCAAUAGCAGUGGCAAGAAGGGAAGCACACGCGUCAAACCUAAAUGGCAAGCCGUUGGAGCUUGUUAAUAGGUCAGAGUAGCAAAAUGACAGAACUACCCUGAUUGUCCGACGAAACCACCACUUAUUAAGAAUGAUGUUUGAUUG